UACGAAGGGGGGCUAGCGUUGCUCGGAAUCACUGGGCGUAAAGGGUGCGUAGGCGGGUCUUUUAAGUCAGGGGUGAAAUCCUGGAGCUCAACUCCAGAACUGCCUUUGAUACUGAGGAUCUUGAGUACGGGAGAGGUGAGUGGAACUGCGAGUGUAGAGGUGAAAUUCGUAGAUAUUCGCAAGAACACCAGUGGCGAAGGCGGCUCACUGGCCCGUAACUGACGCUGAGGCACGAAAGCGUGGGGAGCAAACAGGG
rnacentral:rRNA from 1 species